UAGUGGUGAUUGUAGCAUGACUGAAUGAGACCUAUCCAUAACGGUUGUAGUGUAUAUAUAAAUAUAAAUAUGUAAAAGCUUGUGGAUCUUUUGUUCAGAUGCAUAGAAAUGGAUGUUGGUCAAAAAAGAAAUCAUACAAGUGAAGAGAGGCGAUGAAAUUCAAAAUCGUUGAUGGCAUCGCCCGGACUCGAACCGGAGACCUUCAGUGUGUUAGACUGACGUGAUAACCAACUACACCAUGAUACCUUUAAUGCUUUGUGAGCCAAAUAUUUAUUCAUCACUAUAUCCAUAUCAGGUAGGCUAUUCCGCUAUCCCAUCGCUUCCCCCUUCUCCCUUGGAAUUAUGCGUCUAACUCCGCCGUCUCCUCAUAUCCUGAUAUCCAUUCCUCUUUCUUUGUCUGGUCAUCUCUCUGUGUUGAAGAUAAAGGUUGAUAAAAAUGUUUGCAGCUUUCGAUAUGAGGCUGGACGACAUAGUCAAGAACAACAAAACUUCGAAAUCCUGUAGCUGCAAGGGCCGGGGGUAGAAAAUCCGGUUCCGGACGCGGUCGUCGUCUCCUUAAACGCGCUGCCGAUCGAGUGGCAUCUUAUACAGCUUCUAAGGGAUUAUUUUUUGCAGUUAGUGAUCUGAAAUGGUAUUCAAUACAUUACAGCAGGAGUCACAGAAAGAAGGCGUCUUGUCAAAUUGGAAUGGUUUGGUCUUUCUGAUCAAAUUAUUUGUGUUCUGCUGUAGUUUAAACGGGAAAACGAAUUCAUUUCCCAUGGGGCAGAGAGGUUGUCUACUCUUGACCAGUUGCUGCUGUGAAGAGAUACAGCAAUGUUUCAACUCAUCGGGAAACCAAUAAAGAUAGAGACUGUGGGAACAAACAUUGCUAGGCCGGCUGCCGCUCCUGCUGCAAAUGGUUCUUUUGGAAAUUCAAAUGGAGCCCCCAGAGGAUAUGCUUGUAGUUUAUUGUUGCUUAUGUGAACUGCUCCGGAUUCUGGUAUUUAAAUGUUUGAAGCAUUUAAUUUCUUUGCUGGCAAUGGUUGAUUAUUUUUGGAUGUGAUUAUUUUUUUGGUGUGUAUUUAUAACUAUGUACUAUUCUGUUUAUAUUUAUAAGAGAAAUUACCACCUUUUUACUUG